rnacentral:rRNA from 1 species
GCGGCUYCUGCGCUUGUAKACUUCGGUCUGCUACCUCUUACCCAUGUCUUUUGAGUACCUUCGUUUCCUCGGCGGGUCCGCCCGCCGAUUGGACAACAUUCAAACCCUUUGCAGUUGCAAUCAGCGUCUGAAAAAACAUAAUAGUUACAACUUUCAACAACGGAUCUCUUGGUUCUGGCAUCGAUGAAGAACGCAGCGAAAUGCGAUAAGUAGUGUGAAUUGCAGAAUUCAGUGAAUCAUCGAAUCUUUGAACGCACAUUGCGCCCCUUGGUAUUCCAUGGGGCAUGCCUGUUCGAGCGUCAUUUGUACCUUCAAGCUCUGCUUGGUGUUGGGUGUUUGUCUCGCCUCUGCGUGUAGACUCGCCUUAAAACAAUUGGCAGCCGGCGUAUUGAUUUCGGAGCGCAGUACAUCUCGCGCUUUGCACUCAUAACGACGACGUCCAAAAGUACAUUUUUACACUCUUGACCUCGGAUCAGGUAGGGAUACCCGCUGAACUUAAGCAUAUCAAUAAGCGGAGGAA